rnacentral:rRNA from 1 species
UACGUAGGGUGCAAGCGUUGUCCGGAACUAUUGGGCGUAAAGAGCUCGUAGGCGGUCUGUCGCGUCGGCUGUGAAAACCCGGAGCUCAACUCCGGGCCUGCAGUCGAUACGGGCAAACUGGAGUGUUGCAGGGGAGACUGGAAUUCCUGGUGUAGCGGUGAAAUGCGCAGAUAUCAGGAGGAACACCGGUGGCGAAGGCGGGUCUCUGGGCAACAACUGACGCUGAGGAGCGAAAGCGUGGGGAGCGAACAGG